GACGAACGCUGGCGGCGUGCUUAACACAUGCAAGUCGAACGGAAAGGCCCUGCUUGCAGGGUACUCGAGUGGCGAACGGGUGAGUAACACGUGGGUGAUCUGCCCUGCACUUCGGGAUAAGCCUGGGAAACUGGGUCUAAUACCGGAUAGGAGCCAUUUUUAGUGUGAUGGUUGGAAAGUUUUUUCGGUGUAAGAUGAGCUCGCGGCCUAUCAGCUUGUUGGUGGGGUAAUGGCCUACCAAGGCGGCGACGGGUAGCCGGCCUGAGAGGGUGGACGGCCACAUUGGGACUGAGAUACGGCCCAGACUCCUACGGGAGGCAGCAGUGGGGAAUAUUGCACAAUGGGCGCAAGCCUGAUGCAGCGACGCCGCGGGGGGGAUGACGGCCUUCGGGUUGUAAACUCCUUUCGCUAGGGACGAAGCUUUUUGUGACGGUACCUAGAGAAGAAGCACCGGCUAACUACGUG
rnacentral:rRNA from 1 species